rnacentral:rRNA from 1 species
UACGUAGGGUGCGAGCGUUAAUCGGAAUUACUGGGCGUAAAGCGUGCGCAGGCGGUUUUGUAAGCCAGAUGUGAAAUCCCCGGGCUUAACGUGGGAAUGGCAUUUGGGACUGCAAGGCUGGAGUGUGGCAGAGGAGACUGGAAUUCCCGGUGUAGCAGUGAAAUGCGUAGAUAUCGGGAGGAAUACCGAUGGCGAAGGCAGGUCUCUGGGCUGACACUGACGCUCAUGCACGAAAGCGUGGGGAGCAAACAGG